rnacentral:rRNA from 1 species
GUCUACGGCCUUGACACCCUGAACAAGCCCGAUAUCUGAUCUCAGAAGCUAAGUAGAGUCAGGCCUGGUUAGUACGUGGAUGGGAGACCACCUAGGAAGACUGUGUGCUAUAGGCG